rnacentral:rRNA from 1 species
AUACGUAGGGUGCGAGCGUUGUCCGGAAUUACUGGGCGUAAAGAGCUCGUAGGUGGUUUGUCGCGUCGUCUGUGAAAUUCCGGGGCUUAACUCCGGGCGUGUAGGCGAUACGGGCAUAACUUGAGUACUGUAGGGGAGACUGGAAUUCCUGGUGUAGCGGUGAAAUGCGCAGAUAUCAGGAGGAACACCGGUGGCGAAGGCGGGUCUCUGGGCAGUAACUGACGCUGAGGAGCGAAAGCCUGGGUAGCGAACAGGAUUAGAUACCCUGGUAGUCCAUGCCGUAAACGGUGGGCGCUAGGUGUAGGGGUCUUCCACGACUUCUGUGCCGUAGCUAACGCAUUAAGCGCCCCGCCUGGGGAGUACGGCCGCAAGGCUAAAACUCAAAUGAAUUGACGGGG